rnacentral:rRNA from 1 species
UGGGAAUAUUGGACAAUGGGCGCAAGCCUGAUCCAGCCAUGCCGCGUGAGUGAUGAAGGCCCUAGGGUUGUAAAGCUCUUUCAGCGAGGAGGAUAAUGACGUUACUCGCAGAAGAAGCCCCGGCUAACUUCGUGCCAGCAGCCGCGGUAAUACGAAGGGGGCUAGCGUUGUUCGGAAUCACUGGGCGUAAAGCGCACGUAGGCAGACUUUUAAGUCAGGGUGAAAUCCCGGGGCUCAACCUCGGAACUGCCUUUGAUACUGGAAGUCUGGAGUCCGAGAGAGGUGAGUGGAACUCCGAGUGUAGAGGUGAAAUUCGUAGAUAUUCGGAAGAACACCAGUGGCGGAAGGCGGCUCACUGGCUCGGUACUGACGCUGAGGUGCGAAAAGCGUGGGGAGCAAAACAGGAUUAGAUACCCUGGUAGUCCACGCCGUAAAACGAUGGAAGCUAGCCGUCAGGGUGCAUGCAUCUUGGUGGCGCAGUUAACGCAUUAAGCUUCCCGCCUGGGGAGUACGGUCGCAAGAUUAAAAACUCAAAGGAAUUGACGGGGUCAUAGCUGUUUCCU